GACGAACGCUGGCGGCGUGCCUAAUACAUGCAAGUUGAGCGCUGAAGGUUGGUACUUGUACCAACUGGAUGAGCAGCGAACGGGUGAGUAACGCGUGGGGAAUCUGCCUUUGAGCGGGGGACAACAUUUGGAAACGAAUGCUAAUACCGCAUAAAAACUUUAAACACAAGUUUUAAGUUUGAAAGAUGCAAUUGCAUCACUCAAAGAUGAUCCCGCGUUGUAUUAGCUAGUUGGUGAGGUAAAGGCUCACCAAGGCGAUGAUACAUAGCCGACCUGAGAGGGUGAUCGGCCACAUUGGGACUGAGACACGGCCCAAACUCCUACGGGAGGCAGCAGUAGGGAAUCUUCGGCAAUGGACGAAAGUCUGACCGAGCAACGCCGCGUGAGGGAAGAAGGUUUUCGGAUCGUAAAACUCUGUUGGUAGAGAAGAACGUUGGUGAGAGUGGAAAGCUCAUAAAGUGACGGUAACUACCCAGAAAGGGACGGCUAACUACGUG
rnacentral:rRNA from 1 species